rnacentral:rRNA from 1 species
UUUUCUCCACACACACAGAGUAAUCCAGAGCGAGCUAGUCCAGGCUUGUACGUCAGUUUGUUCUGGAGCGUCAACCUUAGCCGCUCACGCUGAAGCAAGGCUCGGCCGUCACACGAUCCCAGCUGUCGGGGCACCGCUUGAAAUGCUGACCUGAGCCUCGUGAGCUGCCCCCGUCGUCCCCAGGUUCAGCGCCUAUCGCUUCUAGCACGCCGUGUGCGUGCCCGUGUUAGUGUUCGUUGCGUGGGAGUUUCUGCCAUCUCUCGCUGGGUUCAGGUUCAGCCAUGUUCUACCUCGUGAUAUCGAUCCCGGCGAUCCUCCUGUUGCUCGUCCUGGCGCUGGGGUGCUACAUGCUCGGCCGGAACCGCGGCUGGGCCGAUCGGCCGCGCCGCAGCAGUUCGCGCCACCGGCGCCGCCCAAGUAGCAGCAGCUGCAGCGUGGAAAUCUUCCUCAGUAACGCUAUAUGCCGGUUUCUUCCCCCCCUGCUUUGCUUCCAGCAGUACUGCAAUUUCUUUCCUACGUUUGUCUUCUAGAUGUUCUACUAUGUUCUUAAUCCUGCAAGGAGUGUUGAUAGUUCAGCCUGGAUGUCUCCCUUGCAACCUGUAAGACGGUGAAUUGUUCCUCUUUCUUAAUGCAAAUGAGUUUGCUCUUUCGUCACAAUAGCAGGUUGCGCAGGUAGACAGUCUCCGACCGCUUAUAGUUACUCC